GUCAUCAGCACACCAAAACUCAUUAAGUCGAUCAUAGUUGCUGGUAUUAUAUUGUAUCUUCUUACAUCGAGAGAUAAGGUGGGUGAGAAAAGGAGACAAAAGACGGUGAGCUUGGAUGGGACAUUAAGGGGGAAGAGAGGAAAAAAUGUCAUGUGUCUAACUAUUUCUAGUGUUUGAACCGUUUUGAGUCGUAUCUAUCUUUGAACUCAUACCGUCCUAAGCCUUAGAACAUUACAAGCUUAAAAGACCAAUGUAUUUCCUAUUCAAUAAUAUCAACUAUGGCUUAGCAACAACUAAAUCAAGACCUAAACAAUAAGGCAAAUCUAAAAGGUAGAAGGAAUAGCUAAUUAAAAGUAGUGUGUGAUUCAAAAGGUAGAUGGUGAACUUAGGAUAUGGAGUUCCAAUAAAUACCUAAACUUUUGGCAAUUCAAUUAGUUUCAUUAUAAAAAUUUGUAAAUAUUUGAGUCUUAUUUGUAUUAAGAAAUACAUUAUUUGAAAGAGCAUAAUAAUUUUAAGCGGUCUAAUAAUGAAAAUAUUAUAUUAAACUUUAGUAGAGUUUAAUUAUAUAUAUUAUAAGAAUAGUCUUCGCUGUAUUUUUCCAUUUAAUUUUAUUUUUUUAUUUUUCCAUAACAUCCAACCGUUGUAGAGGAGGAUUAGAUACAUUGGUCCCAUAAUAUGUCACUCAAAAUUUAAAAAUCAUCCAACAAAAAGAAAUCAUCAUUUCAGUUAAUAAAAGCAAAAACAAAUAAAGUUAUGGAUGAACAAAUAUGGGAAGCAAAGAAAAAUGAUGGAUCAAAAGGGAGGAAUAAGCUAAUUUCUGCCAUAAGGUAGAUGGUGAACUUAGGAUGUGGAGUUCCAAUAAAUACCUAAACUUUUGGCAAUUCAAAUAUAUUAUACUAAUUUUUAAUUACUUAAAAAGAUUGCAUAAAUUUAAUAACAAAAAGGAGAAUAAAAGAAACAUGAAAUUAUACCUGU
rnacentral:lncRNA from 1 species